CCAAGCCCUUUCAGGUCCUUCUUGCCGCAACUCCGAAGUAGAGAGGUAGGAGGGCGGGUCAUGGAAUGGACAUGUACAACACCUCUUGAAGAACAAGAGUUAUGGAACAGGUAUAAGUAGUACUCCAGAAUAUGUAGAACUGAAGAACUGGUCAGUGACACUCGAAACUGGUGAGACCAGACAGAAAAAUGCUUCCAUUUAAGAGAGGCUCUGUUGAGGAGUGGAAUAUCAGUGCAUUUGCUGGGGCUGAUAGUGCUUCCCGACCAGGCCAGGUAUGUACAGACCUAAAGACUUCAAGGUGGCUCUAGAGUUCUUAAGUCCACGGAGCUUGUUGUCCAUCUGGUCCUAGAACAGAGAAGGACCCUCAAAUGGCAAGUCCUGGAUAGUGAUCAGUACUUCAUAGGGAAGACCAGAAGACUACAACCAGGAUGAUCUAUGCAUUGCAACUGUGGAAGCCACGGUUCUAGCUGCUGAGUCUGCUGCAUCGAGCUCCGCCUGCAGCAAAGUUCUUGCGACUAGUCUGCCCUCAUUGACCAGGGCAGAACAAGCGUUCUCAAGGAGUAAUUCUCUGAACUUUUCCAUGGAGGACCACAAAUUAAAAUCAUACUGCCCCAACAGAGCCUGUUGGUUAGCAAUACGCAGUAGCAAAU